GCGGGCGUAGCUCAGUUGGUUAGAGCGUCCCCCUGUCACGGGGAAGGCCGCCGGUUCGAGUCCGGUCGCUCGCGCAA
rnacentral:tRNA from 1 species